UCGAACGGGAAACCUUUUAUUGAAGCUUCGGCGGAUUUAGAUUGUUUCUAGUGGCGGACGGGUGAGUAACGCGUGGGUAACCUGCCUUAUACAGGGGGAUAACAGUCAGAAAUGGCUGCUAAUACCGCAUAAGCGCACAGAGCUGCAUGGCUCCGUGUGAAAAACUCCGGUGGUAUAAGAUGGACCCGCGUUGGAUUAGCUUGUUGGCAGGGUAACGGCCUACCAAGGCGACGAUCCAUAGCCGGCCUGAGAGGGUGAACGGCCACAUUGGGACUGAGACACGGCCCAGACUCCUACGGGAGGCAGCAGUGGGGAAUAUUGCACAAUGGGGGAAACCCUGAUGCAGCGACGCCGCGUGAAGGAAGAAGUAUCUCGGUAUGUAAACUUCUAUCAGCAGGGAAGAAAAUGACGGUACCUGACUAAGAAGCCCCGGCUAACUACGUGCCAGCAGCCGCGGUAAUACGUAGGGGGCAAGCGUUAUCCGGAUUUACUGGGUGUAAAGGGAGCGUAGACGGAUGGACAAGUCUGAUGUGAAAGGCUGGGGCUCAACCCCGGGACUGCAUUGGAAACUGCCCGUCUUGAGUGCCGGAGAGGUAAGCGGAAUUCCUAGUGUAGCGGUGAAAUGCGUAGAUAUUAGGAGGAACACCAGUGGCGAAGGCGGCUUACUGGACGGUAACUGACGUUGAGGCUCGAAAGCGUAGGGAGCAAACAGG
rnacentral:rRNA from 1 species